rnacentral:lncRNA from 1 species
CCUGCCUCAGCCUCCCGAGUAGCUGGGACUACAGGCGCCCGCGACUACGCCCGGCUAAUUUUUUGUAUUUUUAGUAGAGACGGGGUUUCACCGUGUUAGCCAGGAUGGUCUUCGUCUCCUGACCUCGUGAUCCGCCCGCCUCGGUCCCCUAAAGUGCUGGGAUUACAGGCAUACACUCUUAAGUAACCUGGUGGGGACCCAUCAAACUACAAAGGGUUAUAGCUACUCUUACAGAAGACAUAAGAAGAUAUAUACGCAGAGAAGACAUCAUAAGACCUGAAGAUGAAAAACUUCUGAUCACAGAAGAAAGAUAUACAACAGCCUUGAAGCAUUCUGAGAACCCAGUGAAGGCAAUAAUGUCUCUUCCCAGAGAAAUUCACAGAAUUAUGCAAACUUGGCUCAAUUGUCUUCUGGCAUAAUUGGUGCUACAGAGAACAUUGAGAUCUGGGCUACAUUUUGCCAAGGAGAGGAACAUCUGUGGAGUCUGGAAAGUGGAAGUAAAUCGGAAGCUUUAUUCUCUGGAGGUGGUGGCUGCCAGAUGAACAUGCACAUAUGAGUCAGCCUCAGGCAGAUUUGUUCUCUUACCUGAAUUCCCAGCCCUGUCUUCUGCCAUUUCUGGGACUGCAUGGAGCCUGACCCAGCAGUGGGCACAGAAACAUGCAGGUGCAGAAAUACUGAGGAUGAAAAGCUUACUGUAGCUUUGCAACAGCUUGAAGAUAUUGAACUGAAAUCUGAAAUGCGUUAAGGAGCAAGACACAGAAGACAUGGAGAUCCAUGUAGAAUCAUAAGAAGGUAGCCCCUAGAAGCUUGGAACUGCCCUCAGACUACAGCCAGGAAGCAGACAGGGACUUCAGUUCCACAGCCACAAGGAGCUGAAUUCUGCCAACCAGAAUGAGCAAGAACAUGGAUUCUCCCCUCAAGCCUCCAGAAAAGAAUGCAGCCUACAGUCAGCACUUUAAGUCCCAUGCAACCUAUAAUAGAUUUCUGACCUACAGAGCUUUAAUGUCAUAAAUUGGUGUUGUUUUAAGUCAUGAAGUUUGUGGUAGCUUCUUAUGACAGUAAUUGAAAACUAAUACCUGGUCUUUUUAGCAGAAUAACGAGCACCCUGUAAUGUGUCAUUCAUGCAUAUCUUUUUUUUUUUUUUUUUUUUGGUGGGGGCAGGAAGACAAAACUCUAGAGUUUAAUCUUCCAGCUGACUGACUUGGAAGUGUUCCUGUCAAUAUAAAAGAUCUUGUUGGGGG